UGGCUACCUUGGCAACAGAGGUGGAGAGGGGCGAACUCUCCUACAGAGGAGGUGGGGAGCCAAAGUGUCUAUAACUAAUGGAGGACACAGACCAGUCCAUGGAUAACCUGAUGACAUGGAAGUGGUCUUAUUAGGAGUCAAUCUACUCAACAAUAUCAUUGACCACCUACCAGGAUUAAGGAAAUGGGUCAACAUACUGAGAAUAACAGGAACCAAUUUGCUCACUGCUCACAGGAGAAGAAAUUACAGAUACAGAUACAGAAAUGGAGAAGUCUGGACUGGAAUUGAAAAUAUUAGUGUGACCUCAUGGUGUUUGAUAUAAACAGAUAUGGCAAAUAAAUAAAGAUACACACAUACUCACAGCUCUUAGAGGCAUUGACCCUCUGGGAGCAAUGAACAUACCUAGCAUAUUUU